rnacentral:hammerhead_ribozyme from 1 species
AUUCGGCUGACUAAUCCCAAAUAGGACGAAACGCAAGUCCUGGAU